GAACCUUUUUCUGAAGCAUGAUGUGAUGCUUGCACUAAGAACAGAUAUGCAGAUAGUGAGGCCGUAGUAGCUAACUUUGCAAGCUAAUUAAUAAUUAGUGGCGACCGAGGCAAAUUGGUCUUCUUCCUUCCCACCAUACAUACACCCAUCAUGGUCAUGGGCCCGUGACCUCAUAGUCCUCAUCGAUAGGUGGUGGAUUUAUUCCAGCCCAUCACAACUGACCACUCCUUUUCGAAAAAAUCACAACUGACCACUCACCUAGACUAGCUAGGAAUCCUCUCUUCAUUCAAAAAGAAAGUCAGGAUUCACAAUCAAACCACCGAGAGAGGCACAAGAGACUCCGGUCCGGGUCCGGGUUGGCGCAAAAUGGAGAAAACAAGGACAGACCAUGUUGAACCCUUUCUUUAUUUUCAUAUAUACUUCCUCCGUUCCUAAAUAUUUGUCUUUUUAGAGGUUUCAAAUGGUGACUACAUGCGGAACAAAAUGAGUGAAUCUACACUCUAAAAUAUGUCUAUAUACAUCCGUAUGUGGUGACCAUUUGAAAUCUCUAGAAAGACAAAUAUUUAGGAACGGAGGGAGUACUACAAAAACCGAUAUUUAACUUCCCCGACUCAUGUAGUAGCAACUAAACUGGUCCAUUUGGGAGUUCUGAGAGAUUUUUGUCUAUGAUUUCUAGAGGUCGACUAGCACCAAGCCGUGUGUUCCACACCUACAAAAGACAAACUUGUCGAUGACAAACAGCAACCACCAUGGCCGAUGUGUGGGCCCAUCGAGCUGUGUUAGUACAAAACAGUGUUGCCACUUGUGCUUAGGUGGCUGUGGUGAGUAAAAAAAACUGUGGCACAGGUGCGGCUAGCUGCCUUCCCGGCCUAUAAAACCCCACCCACUCCUUCCCGUUCCAAUCCUACAUCUUCCCAAAGCCACAGGAGAGGAGAGCAGAGCAGAGCACAACCCUUGGACACCUCUUCUUCUUCUUCCAUAGUAACCCAACCCACCCUUUGCGAAGAUGUAUAACGCUCCGUCGGGGCAGGAGAUGUCCUACACGGAGCACGUGCAGAAGCGCCACGAGGAGAAGGGCUGCAUCUACGCAUGCGUGUUCACAGCGCUGUGCUGCUUCUGCUGCUACGAGACAUGCGAGUGCUGCCUCGACUGCCUCUGCUGCUGCUGCAACUAAACCGGACAUGGCCGCCAUGGACGGAGGCCGCAAGGCGCAGAGGAGAUCCACCGGCCUCCGCCGCCUUUCAUAAUAAGCAUAUGUGUCUAGUGUCUUAGCUCGAUGAGAACUGUAUCACAACUUUGCUAUAAUACUAUCUGUCCUUGUAAUCA